rnacentral:rRNA from 1 species
UACGUAGGGGGCAAGCGUUGUCCGGAGUUACUGGGCGUAAAGCGCACGCAGGCGGUCUUUUAAGUUUGGAGUGACAGUUGGUGGCUUAACUGCCAAAGUGCUUCGAAAACUGAAAGACUUGAGGGCUUCAGAGGGACACGGAAUUCCGGGUGGAGUGGUGAAAUGCGUAGAGAUCAGGAGGAACACCGGUGGCGAAGGCGGCCUACUGGGGCCAGCACUGACGCUGAGGCGCGAAAGCGUCGGGGAGCGAACGGGG